rnacentral:miRNA from 1 species
CUAUCUGUGUGUGUGUGUGUGUGUGUGUGUGUACACACACACACACACACACACACACACACAGUGGUA